GACGAACGCUGGCGGCGCGCCUAACACAUGCAAGUCGAACGAGCGAGAGAGAGCUUGCUUUCUCGAGCGAGUGGCGAACGGGUGAGUAACGCGUGAGGAACCUGCCUCAAAGAGGGGGACAACAGUUGGAAACGACUGCUAAUACCGCAUAAGCCCACGGGUCGGCAUCGACCAGAGGGAAAAGGAGCAAUCCACUUUGAGAUGGCCUCGCGUCCGAUUAGCUAGUUGGUGAGGUAACGGCCCACCAAGGCGACGAUCGGUAGCCGGACUGAGAGGUUGAACGGCCACAUUGGGACUGAGACACGGCCCAGACUCCUACGGGAGGCAGCAGUGGGGGAUAUUGCACAAUGGGGGAAACCCUGAUGCAGCGACGCCGCGUGGAGGAAGAAGGUUUUCGGAUUGUAAACUCCUGUCGUUAGGGACGAUAAUGACGGUAC
rnacentral:rRNA from 1 species